GCUCCAUUGGCUCAGUCUGGUUAGAGCGUGUGGCUGUUAGCAGUCUCUUUAAAAUCGAGAUUCCUGGCUACCACAAGGUCAGUAGUUCGAUCCUACUAUGGAGCG